ensembl:snRNA U6 U6 spliceosomal RNA
GUGCUUGCUUCGGCAGCACAUAUACUAAAAUUGGAAUGAUAGAAGAUUAGCAUGGACUCUGAAAAAAAGUCAAUUAAAAAAAAUGGAUUACUUGCUA